AAUUCUGCCUCAAAACGGCCAAGAGUAUCAGCAUCUUCACUGGCUCUACAAUUUUUAAUUCUUCGUACAAGCUUUUGCCGUUCAAAGGUAGAUGCCUUUUUCAAUGCCUGUGAUAUUUUUUUCUUAAAUAGAGGUAUCUUUUUUGGAACAUCAUCGACACUUAAUUGAGAGUGAUGACUUUUUCUUUUGACGCCUUUGUGAGACGUAAAAACCAUUUAAAAAAUUAUGCAAACCCUGAGUAUAACCCACUAAAAUCCAAAAAAACC